rnacentral:tRNA from 1 species
GGGCCGAUGGCUCAGUUGGUAGAGCAUCUCAUUUGCAAUGAGAGGGUCCGGGGUUCGAAUCCCCGUCGGUCCA